rnacentral:rRNA from 1 species
GAUCAUGGCUCAGGAUGAACGCUAGCUACAGGCUUAACACAUGCAAGUCGAGGGGAAACGAUAUUGGAAGCUUGCUUCCGAUAGGCGUCGACCGGCGCACGGGUGAGUAACGCGUAUCCAACCUGCCCACCACUUGGGGAUAACCUUGCGAAAGUAAGACUAAUACCCGAUGAUAUCCCUAGACGACAUCUGAAAGGGAUUAAAGAUUUAUCGGUAUAGGAUGGCGAUGCGUCUGAUUAGGUAGAUGGCGGGGUAACGGCCCACCAUGCCGACGAUCAGUAGGGGUUCUGAGAGGAAGGUCCCCCACAUUGGAACUGAGACACGGUCCAAACUCCUACGGGAGGCAGCAGUGAGGAAUAUUGGUCAAUGGUCGCGAGACUGAACCAGCCAAGUAGCGUGCAGGAUGACGGCCCUCUGGGUUGUAAACUGCUUUUAGUUGGGAAUAAAAGGCGGUACGUGUACCGCGUAUUGUAUGUACCAUCAGAAAAGGACCGGCUAAUUCCGUG